rnacentral:rRNA from 1 species
UACAGAGGGGGCAAGCGUUGUUCGGAAUUGCUGGGCGUAAAGGGCGCGUAGGCGGCCUUCUAAGUCGAACGUGAAAUCCCUGGGCUCAACCCAGGAACUGCGUCCGAUACUGGGAGGCUUGAAUCCAGGAGAGGGGUGCGGAAUUCCAGGUGUAGCGGUGAAAUGCGUAGAUAUCUGGAGGAACACCGGUGGCGAAGGCGGCAUCCUGGACCGGCAUUGACGCUGAGGCGCGAAAGCCAGGGGAGCAAACGGG